CGGACGGCCGCACCCCCGGCCUGGGGCCUCGGGUCGUAGUAAAGCGGAGGCGGGUGGGGAGGCGGGAGUGAGAGCCCGCGGCGGGCCAGGCGAAGAUGGUGGCGGCUACUCCUCCCGUCAUACACGUGGACCUAACCGCACCAAAAGCUUUUCUAAGGAUAUUUUGCUGCGAAGGAAGUUUACUGGAAUGGGUGAGUAUGUUUUAAUUUUCUUCUUUAACUUAAAUUUCUCUUUACUCGAAAAAUUUGGAGUCGAGUAAAUACAAUAGGAUUGGGCUUUUAAAGCAUGAAAUAAGUGUUUUGGACUUUGUCCUAUUUACCUCUUUUAGAAAAUUAAGUUUCGGUCAGCUAGUUUUUAAGGUAAUAAAAGUGCAGUGUUAAUACCCUUAACAUCUUUGGAAAUGAAUACAGAUUACAAAAUGUAAUCUUAGGAUUUCUUUUAAGUUGUAGAGUAAGGAAGACCUAAUCUGGGAUGGCAAAUUUAAGAUUUUAAAGAGUACAUUUAACUUGUACAAAUAAGUACUAAACUUGAAAUGAAGUCUGAAGGUAAUUUCAUUAAUCACUUUAUCAAGUAUUUGCUAAUUGGAAGCCAGAAGAAAAGGAAAUGUUUUGCCACUUGGAUGUGAAGAUUUCCUCUGAAAGGUACUCAUGAGUCAAAAUGCCUUGCUGAUAUUAAGUCUUACUUGUGUGUGGUAUGAAUUUUAUUUUUAAGUAUGUAGUAUGUAUUUGGGAAAGGCCAACAAGGAAUAGCCACUACCACUCUGUUAUGGUUUUUGAAGUAGUGGUUAGUUUAUGCCUUCUGUAAAUAGUUUUCUAGUUCUAAGGCAUGUCUAAGUGGAACUCGUUUUUAGAUGAACUGAUUUUUCUUAUUAGAGCUUAAGCUGAAUUUUGUGUUUCAUAGCUCUUAGUUUGAGGUGUUUAUCUAAUUAUUUGUUUCAAAUUUAGCAGGACUAAAGAGAACAUCACCUUGUAAAACUGAAGAUUGUGACCAGUCAGAAUAAUGUCAAAGUGCUUACAGUGCAGGUAGUGAUAUGUGCAUCUACUGCAGUGAAGGCACUUGUAGCAUUAUGGUGACAGCUGCCUCGGGGAGCCAAGGUGGGCUUUAAAGCGCAGGGCCUGCUGAUGUUGAGUGCUUUUUGUUCUAAGGUGCAUCUAGUGCAGAUAGUGAAGUAGAUUAGCAUCUACUGCCCUAAGUGCUCCUUCUGGCAUAAGAAGUUAUGUUUUCAUCCAAUAAUUCAAGUCAAGCAAGUAUAUAGGGGUUUAAUAGUUUUUGUUUGCAGUCCUCUGUUAGUUUUGCAUAGUUGCACUACAAGAAGAAUGUAGUUGUGCAAAUCUAUGCAAAACUGAUGGUGGCCUGCUAUUUCCUUCAAGUGAUUUUUACUAAUUUGUGUACUUUUAUUGUGUCGAUGUAGAAUCUGCCUGGUGUUUCUGAUGUGACAGCUUCUGUAGCACUAAAGUGCUUAUAGUGCAGGUAGUGUUUAGUUAUCUACUGCAUUAUGAGCACUUAAAGUACUGCGAGCUGUAGAACUCCAGCUUCGGCCUGUCGCCCAGUCAAACUGUCCUGUUACUGAACACUGUUCUAUGGUUAGUUUUGCAGGUUUGCAUCCAGCUGUGUGAUAUUCUGCUGUGCAAAUCCAUGCAAAACUGACUGUGGUAGUGAAAAGUCUGUAGAAAAGUAAGGGAAAAUCAAACCCCUUUCUACACAGGUUGGGAUCGGUUGCAAUGCUGUGUUUCUGUAUGGUAUUGCACUUGUCCCGGCCUGUUGAGUUUGGUGGGGAUUGUGACCAGAAGAUUUUGAAAAUUAAAUAUUACUGAAGAUUCCAAUUUCCAUUGUAAAAUGUUAAAAAAAGACACAAAGUAUUAAAAAAGAGACUGUAACUUCAAAUUUGUUCCUUUUUGUUAGUGUAAAAUGUUUAACUUUGUAUCUUGAAAUCAAGUGUUGCUUUGGUACUAAACAGUUCACUUUGGUCUCAUGUUCAACUUAGCAGUAUAAAUUUUGACACUUUGUGGAGUUAACACUUGGGCUAUCAAGUGGUCCAAUAUGAUUGCGAUUGUACAAAAAAUUCAUUGUAAAUGCAUGACAAAAAGUUAUUAAGUUAUAUAUUCAUGUAUCUAAAUGGAUAAAAAUGUCAAGUCUGUUUAAAUCCAUGUGUCUUAUUAAGCUUGAUACUCAGGAUUAAGGCCUCAUAAUACAUGAAUUCUUGAUGUACAGCAGUUAGCUGGUAUGCACUCAAUUCUUUGUUUAUGAUGUACGUCCUGUAAGUGACCCGGGUUGCUGUUUUUGCCAUCUAGAAACUUUAAAAAGUUGGAAUAAAAGAAAGACUGGUACUAAAAGAGUGACAAGUACCUGUUUGUGUACAUGCAUUUCUAAAGCCAAGAAUGUGGUGAGGUGAAAAUUUAAAGUUUUUUUAUCCAAGUCUAGUGAACAUAUAUGUUUGCCCCCCAUUUAAUAAGCAUGAGUUCAAAGGGGAGUUGAUUCCAGGUUGCUGUCAUUUCUGUCUCUGGUGUAGAAACUAAGAAGUGCAGUUUAACAUGACAUUUCUGCAUUUCUUUUGUUUCAUCUCUAGUCUGUUAUUUUUAUGUGUAAAAAUAUUGGAUGUGGCUGAGUGGUUGAGCACCCGUGGGUUCAACCCUGGUGCUAAACACAAAACAUGGGUAUCUUGACCUGUUACAUUGGAAAGGACCACACUGAACUCAAGCAGGGAUCCAGGGAAACUUUGAUGCUUUCAUUUUGCAAAAUAUCAGUGUAUUUUGAAUGAAAGUUGCUUAGUAAUAUGAAGUAAAUUUCCAUAACCUUAGCACUUAACUCACCUGAUAAAUUUUAGAGAAUGUCUUUUAAAAUACAUUGGGUGAAAUCUUAAUGGACGUUUUCACCUCUAAUAUAUCUCUUUAGAAAUUUUAAGAAGCUUAGUCUUCGACACCUGAGUAGAAAGGUAAGAGUUACACAGUUCUGGAAUUACGUGGUAAACUUUCAAGAAAAGAAAAUAAUCAGAAUUGUACAGUGAUAGAAUGAAGUAGAAAUCUAAUUAUUCUUUACCCGAAUCUUUUGAAUUGAAGGAAACCUAAAAAUUGUUUUGUUUUGGUUAUUUAAUGAAAAGCAUUGGCUUUAAACUGUUUUAAAAGUUCCAUAAGGUUAACCUAUCUUAAUGGUACUCUGCAAAAUGGUAUUAUCUGGUUAUAAGUGAAAAAAAGUGUAUACGUGUAUCAAAAUGUCUUGUUCAAAGCUUUUAAAUAUCCUAGCAGUGAUAUUAAGCCUGCAUGGUGGUUUCUUAAAUGUGCUUUAAAUAUGUCAAAAUUUGUAACAGUCAUUAAAUGGUUACCUCUAUCCCUGGGUUUUAAACCUAUGUUACAGAACUUAUUUGGACUUGAACUGACAUUUUAAUUCCAGUAAAAAAGUUAAUAAGUGUGUUUAUUGUGGGGUUGGCAGUAAGCUGAAGUUAAUGUUGGUUUUAGUGGGAAUUGUUUUGAUUUGUUUCUGGUUUUAGAAUGGCAAGUUUUGUUUUUGAUUCUCUUUGAUUUUUUUCCUUAGGGAUGAUGACAUACAUACCAACAAAUGUAAAUAUAUAAACAUUGACAUUAAUUUCACAUUAACCAUCUUGAGGUACAGAUGAGUCAAUAAUUGAUCUGGGUGAAACUGUUUUGACAUUCCUCCCACAGUGCUUUAAUCAAGUUGUAAUUUGGAGUUGGUGUUGCUUCAAGCCUUAAAACUUUAGGAAAAGAGGACUUUCUGCAUGUUAUGCUUAACACUGCUUGCAAAAGUAUUGGUGAUUUUACUGAAAACUUUUUUGAGAUCUUCAUUUUUACAGGCAAACUUGUCUAAGCACAGCAAACCAGACUUUGGGUUUCCCUUAAUCAUAGUUUGAAGAGCCCAACAUGCUGAUUCCUGACAAUGCAACCUGCAACUGCCUGGAGAAAAAUUCACUAUCACCUUAAAAGUUUAUUCCAUGUUUAAUGAAAUACUAUUGUUAGUAAUUGAUAAUCAUGUAGAUUGUCAAACAGAAUUGAGAGCCUAUCAGCUAAGCAAUAAAGAUAAGGAGAGCUCAGCAUGCAAGUCCAGUUUGGGGUAUUUGAAAAUGAUGAGUCUCAUGCCCCAUUGAGACUUUGCAGACUAUUCUUUGGCUUAAGGAUAUUUUAGUUCACUUUCUGCUUGAAGCCUGAAUUAAUGUAAUUUUCUGUUUUGGUAAAUUAAAAUCAGUCUAUAUUUCUGAACUUUUAAAGGGUCAUUAAGAACAUGGAUGUAUCCCUGUGAAUUUUAAGACCAUUAAAAAAAUUGUUGACAAAGAGUUUUCUACUUCUAAUAAGCUGAAUACAGAGGUGCAUACCUAAUUAUGUAUUUAGUUUGGUCACGAUAUUUAGGUUUUAGUGCAUUUAAUAUUAAAAAUAUUUUAAACUGCUUGUUAAGAAGUUGUUCAAAAUAAACACUGAAAUAAAAAUUA